GCCGGCCUAGCUCAAAUGGUAGAGCAACUGACUUGUAAUCAGUAGGUUGGGGGUUCAAGUCCUCUGGCCGGCACCA
rnacentral:tRNA from 1 species